GAUGAACGCUGGCGGCGUGCCUAAUACAUGCAAGUCGAGCGAACAGACGAGGAGCUUGCUCCUCUGACGUUAGCGGCGGACGGGUGAGUAACACGUGGAUAACCUACCUAUAAGACUGGGAUAACUUCGGGAAACCGGAGCUAAUACCGGAUAAUAUAUUGAACCGCAUGGUUCAAUAGUGAAAGACGGUUUUGCUGUCACUUAUAGAUGGAUCCGCGCCGCAUUAGCUAGUUGGUAAGGUAACGGCUUACCAAGGCAACGAUGCGUAGCCGACCUGAGAGGGGCGUGGGCAACACUGACACUGAUACACGUCCCAAACCCCACGGGGAGCAGGCAUGGGGGAUUUCUCCGAAAGGGCCAAAAGCCGGACGGAGCAACGCCGCGUGGUUAAUGAGGGUUUUCUGAUCUAAAACCUUUUUUAUUAGGAAAGAAAAAAUGUUUAAGUACCUACCCCCGUCUGGAGGAUACCUAAUCAGAAGGCCGGGGCUAAGUCCGAG
rnacentral:rRNA from 1 species